rnacentral:rRNA from 1 species
GGAGUUAGCCGGUGCUUCUUCUGUGAGUGAUGUCCUUCCUGCCGGCUAUUAACCCGCAGGCCUUCUUCCUCACUGAAAGUGCUUUACAACCCGAAGGCCUUCUUCACACACGCGGCAUGGCUGGAUCAGGGUUGCCCCCCAUUGUCCAAUAUUCCCCACUGCUGCCUCCCGUAGGAGUCUGGGCCGUGUCUCAGUCCCAGUGUGGCUGAUCAUCCUCUCAGACCAGCUACGGAUCGUCGCCUUGGUGAGCCGUUACCUCACCAACCAGCUAAUCCGACAUAGGCUCAUCCGAUAGCGCGAGGCCCGAAGGUCCCCCGCUUUCCCCCGUAGGGCGUAUGCGGUAUUAGCCUGGGUUUCCCCAGGUUAUCCCCCCACUACCGGGCAGAUUCCUAUGCAUUACUCACCCGUCCGCCGCUCGCCACCAGGGAGCAAGCUCCCCGUGCUGCCGCUCGACUUGCAUGUGUUAGGCCUGCCGCCAGCGUUCAAUCUGAGCCAUGAUCAAACUCUGA